rnacentral:rRNA from 1 species
CCCUUAGAUGUUCUGGGCUGCACGCGCGCUACACUGAAGCGUUCAACGAGUAUUCACCUUGCCCGGGAGGGUUGGGUAAUCUUUUGAAAACGCUUCGUGAUGGGGAUAGAUUAUUGCAAUUAUUAAUCUUCAACGAGGAAUUCCUAGUAAGCGCGAGUCAUCAGCUCGUGCUGAUUACGUCCCUGCCCUUUGUACACACCGCCCGUCGCUCCUACCGAUUGAAUGCUCAGGUGAGCCAUUCGGACUUUCAUCAUGCUGGUUUCCAGUUUUGAUGAAGGAAAGUCUUGCGAACCUUAUCAUUUAGAGGAAGGAGAAGUCGUAACA